UGGCACCUCCAUCCUUCAAGUUGCUGAAGCCCCAGAUCUCAAUGUUAACCUUGAUUUCUUUAUUUUAUUUCAUAGGCAAUCUGAACGCAAAUCCUAUUUAGACCCAGGUGAAGGUUCCUGGUGACCCAGGCUCUCACCAGCCGAUUGUCCCUUACCAUCCUCCUGAGGGUGUCUGGAGCUUCAGUGCUGUGUGCUCUUGGCCUCCACCCUUGGGGUGCCACCGACUCCCACUGUCCAGGGCUUCCAGUGGACUCUCCGAGGCACUGAUGUAGAGACUUCCCCAUUCAGUGCACCAAGAGCAGCCUCACACGGUGUGGGCUGACAUGAAGAGCUGCCAGAUCCAACAGAAAUGUGAUUGAUAACAGUAAAGCCACACUCUUCACAUGCCUGAAAUACCCCUCAUUGUCUUCUUCAGGUGGCAAGGGCUCUGGAACAGCCACAUAAAGCCCUUGAAGAUAAGGAUGGUCAAAAAAAAUAAUAUCAUAUCUGCAGAAACUCAGAUCUUGGAAAGAUUUACUAGUUGGGAAUCCAAUGUCAAUGCCAAGAAGUAGCCACCAGUUGCGAUCAAAUGUGAGCCUAUGGAUCAAGGAAUGCCUGGACACAGUAGACAAAGGUUGUUCAACUGGAUGCCUUAGGAUACAUGCUUCCAAAAACAAAGUAGCUGAAAAGAAACCAGAAUCACAGAAUAUCAGAGCGAGAGGAACAUUUCAAGGUAAUUCAGUACCUCCUCCUUUUCCACCUACAAGGGAGAUAGUGAAACAGAAGCAGGGAUGCACCUGCCUGCUGUGCCCACAAUUCAUUGGAGAUUGUUGCAGUGAAAAAUUUCAUUUAUGAUGAAGGAGAAAUAAACCCCUAUCAGCUUAAAUUCAGGCAGGUUUAUUGAAAAGGUGAAGAAGCAUCUUGCAGAAGCAAAGCAUGGCUGAGGCUUGUGGGCUCUGUCUGGGAAAUGAGCAGCCAACAGUGGCUGAUGCUGCCCCUGACUCUGGGGCUGUGUGGUCUCUUGUUCCCUGAGAGCAUCUCUUCUAUUCUUUUGCAUCUUCCCUCAGCCUGGCAGUCUCUGUGUACUCUUCAACACAUAAUUGAGCAAGGCUGUGCCAGCCCCAAUGCCACCUGGCACUUUAGGUCAAAUUAGAAAGGCAUGAAAUAAACUGGUCUUUUAUAAUACAGCUGUUGGAACAACAGUUGAAAAUAUAAUAUCUUGACUCCUGGUUUAGUGCUUUUUGCUAAACUUUCUUUUCCAAAUAUGAGCACAGACUUUGGAAUAUUAGUGUCACCUAGCAUUAUUAGCUAGUAUUCUCCUUUUGUUUCCCAAUAACAUCCCCUCCUCCUUCCCACAGAUCCACUUUCCACUCAUUUCCAUCCUGUCUUAUGCCACUCAGGGCUUACCCUUCUAAAAUGCAUCCCUGGCUCCCCUGCAUGCACACUUCUAGUUAGGUUUAGCAAUGGGGGGCACCUGAUGGAGCCUGGAAGUGAGAGGCAGGUGAGGUCUGUAUUUCUUUCCUCUCCCUCCCUGCUCUGGCACUGAGUAUCUGACAAUAGCUGCAUCUGUCUUACUUCAGUGGCCACUUUUCCACAGCCUCAAUUCUCAGUGGGUCCCAUAGCAUUAUUUACCUUUGUUCCUUUAGCUCCUACCAAGGAAGAUCCAGAGACAUUCUCCUCACCAAGGCGUUAAGAAAUGCACAGGUGAGGGGAACAGCGGCGUGCAUGUAAAGGUCCUGUGGCACCUCUCCUCUGCAGGCUGGAGGUCAUGGCGGGAGAUGCUGCAUGGAUUUGCCUUCCCUGCUGGCAGUGAGAACAAUAGGGUUCUGGAAGAUUAGAGGACAGGCCAUGGUACUCGGCCAUCUAGAAACAAGGUGGGAGGGAUUUCCUUGAGAGGCAGGGACCUGUGGUGGUUACUAAUCAUCAUGAGGUGUCUGGGAAUGUAAUGGAUGGGAAAUCUAUUAAGAAAUCAAUGUAUGUAAUAAUUAGAAAACUCUAGUUCUGAGGACAGAGACCAUAGUGGGAAUUUAUGACCUGGCAUCCAGUUCAGAUACCUAGAGCUUCUUGAUGGAGGGGAGAUUGGAUCCCUUGAGGAAGAGUGAAGCCUUCAAUGCUGCCACAAGUGUAUGCUGUAAAUCUUCCUCCAGGCCUUCCCCAGAAGGACCUGAAGCCAUUUAUGUGGGUGACCGAGGAAAGGGAAAUACUCAGAGCUUCUGUGGCUUUUUGGAUUCUGGCUCUGAAGAAUGCUAGCCUGAAGACACCUGUGGUGGCCAUGAAAAUGCACUACUUGCAUCUCCAGCUGUAGGAGGCCUAACGAAUCAACAACCCCAGCUGCUACACUCUGAAUUGAGUACUUGAUGACAUUUCCCCCAUAUCUGUACUAGCCCAUGAGGAGGAAAGCCUCAUAUCAAGUCCUCCCAGUGGAACACCCAUGAUGACUCGUGAGGAUGUCGAAGCUGUUUUCCCGUGGUAACUGUGACUUUCUUUCUUCAAAGUCUGUUUUGUUUGUGUACAUUAGCUGAUUUAUAUAAAAUAAGAGAAUAAAUGCCUAGACUCCCAUGAGUCUAUCUUUUACUGAUAAACUCUAGUUCUGAGGACAGAAGCUUGAUGGAGUCAGUAUAGUGGGAAUUUAUAACCUGGCAUCCAGUUCAGAGACUUGGAGCUUCUUGACUGAGGGGAGAUUGGGUCCCUUUGGGGAAGAAAGAA
ensembl:lncRNA